rnacentral:rRNA from 1 species
GAUGAACGCUGGCGGCGUGCCUAAUACAUGCAAGUCGAGCGAACAGACGAGGAGCUUGCUCCUCUGACGUUAGCGGCGGACGGGUGAGUAACACGUGGAUAACCUACCUAUAAGACUGGGAUAACUUCGGGAAACCGGAGCUAAUACCGGAUAAUAUAUUGAACCGCAUGGUUCAAUAGUGAAAGACGGUUUUGCUGUCCCUUAUAGAUGGAUCCGCGCCGCAUUAGCUAGUUGGUAAGGUAACGGCUUACCAAGGCAACGAUGCGUAGCCGACCUGAGAGGGGGAUCGGCCACACUGGAACGGGGACACGGUCCAGACUCCUACGGGAGGCAGCAGUAGGGAAUCUUCCGCAAUGGGCGAAAGCCUGACGGAGCAACGCCGCGGGAGUGAUGAAGGUCUUCGGAUCGUAAAACUCUGUUAUUAGGGAAGAACAAAUGUGUAAGUAACUAUGCACGUCUUGACGGUACCUAAUCAGAAAGCCACGGCUAACUACGUG